AUGACUUUAUUUAUUUUUAUUCUUAUUGAUAUUUUAUUUCAUAGCUCUUCAUGUAAUUGUAAAUUACAACUUUUGUAUCCUAUAAAUAGGACUUACAUUACCAUGUAAAAAACAUAUUUGUGAAGAGAAUAAUAUAAGGCUUUCAUUAUCAUCUUCUUCUUCUUAUUUAGUCUUGUGUUUUUAAUUUAUUUAUAAUAUUUUAUCAGCACGAUGCUCUAACCAUUUUAGUUUAUUGCAAUUUGGUAAAAGGGGAGCAAGGAUUUCACCGAUGGGAUUACAAGUCAACGAGGUUAUGCAAUUCUAGUAUUGGAUCCAUGGCAUCCCCAUUUCCAUUUCAAGUGACAUUGACCUUACAAUUUUCAGUGGACCCCACAAUAUUUUGUGGCAUGGCACUUCUCUCCUUUGCAUGCUACAAGAAGAAAUUGCAUUGAAGCAUCCCUGAAGGAUUACAAAAGAAUUUGCAUUGAAGCAUCCAUAAGGGAUUAGAAACAAACAAACAUCUCUGAAGGAUUAGAAACGAACAAAAAUAAUUUAUCUUUAUCAUUGUUUAAAGAUUAUCAAGAAAAACUCUCUUAGAUUAAAUCAUCUUUUUUUUGGUGUUGUUGGUGAAAGUCAUUCAAAUAAGAAAAUAUCAAUUAAAAUCGUUUCAAAGGAUUAAUUAAAGGUUAAGUAAUAUUCAUUAUCAAUUUUUCUUGAUCAUUAUGUAGAUCACGUGUAAUAUAGUUCCUGAAGAACUGAUUUUCUUUUAAUAUUAAAGAAUCCUUGAAGGAUCACCUAAACACAAAUUUUUCUUGAUCAUUGUUUAUAAAUAUCUGAGAUAUAGUUCUU